rnacentral:misc_RNA from 1 species
AACUUUUAACAAUGGAUCUCUUGGCUCUCGCAUCGCUGAAGAACGCAGCGAAAUGCGAUAAGUAAUGUGAAUUGCAGAAUUCAGUGAAUCAUCGAAUCUUUGAACGCACCUUGCGCCCCUUGGCUAUUCCGAGGGGCAUGCCUGUUUGUGUAUCAUGAACACCUCAACUCUCAUGGUUUGCUGUGAUGAGCUUUGGCUCUGGGGGUUUUGCUGGCCUGUGGUCCGCUCCCCUCAAAUGAAUCAGCCCCCCAAUGUUUGGUUGCAUCACGGGUGUGAUAAAUAUCUAUGCCCGCGGUUGGCUUCCAGGUAAACUUUGGUGAAAAAGGGUUGGUGGAGCCCCCAGAAGGUUCCCCUCAGCGAAGACAGCUUUUUGAACGUUCGAUCUCAAAUCAGGUAGGACUACCCGCUGAACUUAAGCAUAUCAAUAAGCGGAGGCU